UACGAAGGGGGCUAGCGUUGCUCGGAAUCACUGGGCGUAAAGCGCACGUAGGCGGAUUGUUAAGUCAGGGGUGAAAUCCUGGAGCUCAAUUCCAGAACUGCCUUUGAUACUGGCGAUCUCGAGUCCGGGAGAGGUGAGUGGAACUGCGAGUGUAGAGGUGAAAUUCGUAGAUAUUCGCAAGAACACCAGUGGCGAAGGCGGCUCACUGGCCCGGUACUGACGCUGAGGUGCGAAAGCGUGGGGAGCAAACAGG
rnacentral:rRNA from 1 species